CUCAAAUUGUGCGUUUAGCGAAUCGCCACUUGUAGGUAAAGGCUGUGCCGUGGGUAGGGGUCGUCACAGACUUAUUCCGCCCCCCCCCUCCCCAGUGAGGCGUGUGUGUGAGUGUGUUUUAGAUGCUUUAUCCACUUCGUGCUCGUGUUUCAGCGGAACGCGAGCGAAGCUAACAUGUAGAGAACGCGGGCAAAUGUUUCAGCACCCUGGACAGCAGCCCGGUCCGCUAACCGCUAGAGUCCGCCUUCAGCCAUCCGACACUAACAGCGCGUAGAUCCGAGCUGCUCCUUCUCCAUCUCUGGGAUUUCGGAGAGCUGCAGAGGAAGAGGGGCCAGCUGCUGAUGAAGGAGCUCAGAGAUGCGUGUUCUCGCUGAAGAGUUUAACCUGAGCAGCCGGGGGUGUGCCUCUGGAUCCAUAAAUGAGACUAAAGCGAUGGGAGAAAGGAAAAUACAAGGGGCUGAGGGCCAUCUACAACGUUGUCUCCAGAGGAAAUAAGCACAAGCUAGUCUGAAGUGGUGAAACGCUACAACUCCAACGCUCCUCUACAGGAAACCCCUCCGUAAGUGCAUAUGCUGUGGCCGGAAUGGAAUGAUCACUGGUUGGAGUGAAAUCUCCAGCUAACGUGAAAAAAAGAUCAACAAUUUUUUGGAUUCGACUCUGGACAUCUUUUGCACCUUGUCUACAAAACAGAAACAGCUGACUAUCCUGCCAGAAUACUGUGAGGCUCAGUCCAGCCUAGUAGAAACUAAAAGUGACAUCCCAAGCU
ensembl:lncRNA